UGGGGAAUUUUGGACAAUGGGGGAAACCCUGAUCAAGCCAUCCCGCGUGUGCGAUGAAGGCCUUCGGGUUGUAAAGCACUUUUGGCAGGAAAGAAACGUCAUGGGUUAAUACCCCGUGAAACUGACGGUACCUGCAGAAUAAGCACCGGCUAACUACGUGCCAGCAGCCGCGGUAAUACGUAGGGUGCAAGCGUUAAUCGGAAUUACUGGGCGUAAAGCGUGCGCAGGCGGUUCGGAAAGAAAGAUGUGAAAUCCCAGAGCUCAACUUUGGAACUGCAUUUUUAACUACCGGGCUGGAGUGUGUCAGAGGGAGGUGGAAUUCCGGUUGUAGCAGUGAAAUGCGUAGAUAUGCGGAGGAACACCGAUGGCGAAGGCAGCCUCCUGGGAUAACACUGACGCUCAUGCACGAAAGCGUGGGGAGCAAACAGG
rnacentral:rRNA from 1 species